GGACAACCCACAGGAUUAAGGUGAGUUUUUUCUUUCAUUUUAAUUUUGUUUCUCUUGAAACUUUGAGCAUGAUUUAUAAGUAAUAUAAGUAGUAUUUCCAAGGUUAGAUAUUUCUAAAAAAUAUCCUGCAACUCUACCAGAGUUUUGAGAGAAAAAACUUAGAAAUUAAGCAGAGACUCUGUUGGAGUUAAAACAACAUGUCCUACAAGGUAUGUAG
rnacentral:lncRNA from 1 species